GUUCCCAUACCGAACACGGAAGUUAAGCUUCUCAGCGCCGAUGGUAGUUGGGGGCUGUCCCCCUGUGAGAGUAGGACGCUGCCGGGC
rnacentral:rRNA from 1 species